AGCAAACAGGAUUAGAUACCCUGGUAGUCACGCUGUAAACGAUGUCGAUUUGGAGUUUGGGGGCAUGACCCUUCGGCUCGGAGCUAACGCGUUAAAUCGACCGCUGGGGAGUACGGCCGCAAGGUUAAAACUCAAAUGAAUUGACGGGGGCCCGCACAAGCGGUGGAGCAUGUGGUUUAAUUCGAUGCAACGCGAAGAACCUUACCUGGUCUUGACAUCCAUAGAAUUUUUCAGAGAUGAGAGAGUGCCUUCGGGAGCUAUGAGACAGGUGCUGCAUGGCUGUCGUCAGCUCGUGUUGUGAAAUGUUGGGUUAAGUCCCGCAACGAGCGCAACCCUUAUCCUUUGUUGCCAGCGGUUAAAGCCGGGAACUCAAAGGAGACUGCCGUUGAUAAAGCGGAGGAAGGUGGGGACGACGUCAAGUCAUCAUGGCCCUUACGACCAGGGCUACACACGUGCUACAAUGGCGUAUACAAAGGGAUGCGAAGGUGCGAACUGGAGCGGACCUCACAAAGUACGUCUAAGUCCGGAUUGGAGUCUGCAACUCGACUCCAUGAAGUCGGAAUCGCUAGUAAUCGUGAAUCAGAAUGUCACGGUGAAUACGUUCCCGGGCCUUGUACACACCGCCCGUCACACCAUGGGAGUGGGUUGCACCAGAAGUAGAUAGCUUAACCUUCGGGAGGGCGUUUACCACGGUGUGGUUCAUGACUGGGGUGAAGUCGUAACAAGGUAACCA
rnacentral:rRNA from 1 species